rnacentral:rRNA from 1 species
GACGAACGCUGGCGGCGUGCUUAACACAUGCAAGUCGAACGGAAAGGCCCUGCUUUUGUGGGGCGCUCGAGUGGCGAACGGGUGAGUAACACGCGAGUAACCUGCCCUUGACUUUGGGAUAACUUCAGGAAACUGGGGCUAAUACCGGAUAGGAGCUCCUGCUGCAUGGUGGGGGUUGGAAAGUUUCGGCGGUUGGGGAUGGACUGGCGGCUUAUCCGCUUGUUGGUGAGGUAGGGGCUUACCACGGCUAUGACGGAUAGGCGGCCUGGGAGGGGUGCCAGGCUCCAUGCUCCUACGGGACGGCCCAGAAGCGUAUGGGACGCAGCGGUGGAGAAUAUGGCGCAGUAACCGGAAGCCUGUUGCGGAAGCCUCGCGUGCGGGAUAACGGCUUUCGGGUUGUAAACCGCUGUCGCCUGAACCAAAGAGUGAUUGACGGUAACUAAUAAAAAAGCAACGGCUAACUACGUG